CUACUACUGAGACAGUUGACGUGGGAACAGACACAAACCAACUCAUUUCGUGUCGGAGUAAGUCCUGUCAGUGUGUGACACCCUCCUUGAUGUCGACUGGUACCCAGAAGAGCAUGAACACAUCUUGGUGCACAAUUGCUGUCCAGUGUACACCAGAUACAUGCGACCGUGCUACACAAUAUGAGGCACCAGGUGAUGCUGACAGCAAGAACAAUAUGCCUGACACAACUG